AGCAUUACAAAGGAGAAAGAACUGAACAAACCACACAAACAGGAGACCGGCAAAAACAGUAAUUGUAUCAAACACAUUACAAAUUUAAUCUUCUUAAUUAAUGGGCAGCAGUUUCUUUGUCCUUAUCCUUUUCGUCCUCAGACUUUGGGUGGUAGCCAGGGAGCUUCUCCUUGAGUUUCUCCAAUAUGCCCUUCUUCUCCUUGGCCUCUGCCUCAGGAGCCUCGACUGAUGUGGGGUGCUCAGCAGCAGGAGGAGAAGGGACCUGAUGAUCUUCAGGUUUCUUUUGCUGUCCUGGUAGUUUCUCCUUGAUCUUGUUGAGAAAUCCUUUCUUUUCUUCAGGAUGGGCUUCUUCCUGGUGGUGGGGAGCAUGGACAUCAUCAAGUUUCUCGACAGGGACUGUCGUGUCCUCUUCUUUCUCACCUGAUAUUUUCUCCUUGAGCUUCUCCUUCAGUCCCUUCUUUUCCUUCUUCUUCUUCUUCUUUUCCUCAUCAUCGCCCUCCUCCUCAUCGCUUGACUGCACACACACACACACACACACACACCAAAAAAACAAUUUAAAAUACGAUACUUAGGAUCAUUCGUUCAGAUUGUUUUUAUUUUUUUAUCAUAAAUUAAGAUGAUUAACAAAUGAAGAAACAGAAACUUACAGAGCUAGAGCUGCUGGUGGAUCGGUGAAGUUUGUCUAAGAAACCGGGCUUCUUCUCUUCCUCUUUCUCCUCCUUCCUGUGUUCCUCUACCUUUGGCUGAGGCUCAGAGACAUGAACUUUCUCAAACUCGGUGGCGAUCACCUCCUGAUCGUGAUGUUGAGGUUUCUCCUCUUCUUUCUUCCCCAAGAAAUCAAGCAUCCCGCGAUCCUUGGUCUCCACUGCACCUUCCGUCCCAACACUCGGCUCGUACUCAUGGCUCUUCUGCUGCUUCUUGAUCUCUUCAGCCAUACUUGUCAAUUAUCACUCACAAACAACAAUUUUUAACAACAGAUCAACGGACAAGAACACAGAGAUAUGUGGUAUGUGCAAUAAAGUAAGUUUUCGAGCUUCUUUAAGGAAUUUUUGCUUACUUAAGACACAGAGUACGUGUGCUUUUAUAGUGUCACACCACGCGGAUCUGACGCGAUUAAGAGAAUAUAAAAGCCCAUUUGGAUUAGCCAAUCACAACUAGCUCCAGUGACCGACGUGUACCUUAAGACAAAGCAGAAAACAACCAAUCCACUCUCUCGAAUAACUUAAAAACCAUUACUCGCUUUCUCUUAUUGACAGCUGUCUAUCGCUGAACGUGUCGAAUCCUUAAGGCGAGUGGAGGGGCUUGAAAAGAGGAGAACGGCGAUUUAACGGACAAAAGAAGAAAGUAGAAAAAUGGAGAGGGAGACACGCUGUACCGUAAUGGUGGUGCUGGGAUACGACCGAAAGAAGAGGUGCCACGUGUAAGAAGAACGUGAAUGGUUGUCCUCGGUGGGACCCGAAAGUGUCGGUCUUUGAGAGGAUAAAUUAGCGAAAGGUCGGUGUGGAGGCCCAGCUAAUACUUUCAGGUGGGGGCCACGUGGCAGUUGCGUCUAUGUGAAGAAGUGUGGGAGUUUCGAGAUUUGCGCGACUGCUUACUGGUUGGUGUUCUACUUUCCUGCGCAAAUUCAUUUUAUAACUGGGCUGAGUUAAGUUGAUGCUUUCAAACGUUGCACCUUACCAAGGAGCGUUUGCUUUGGGGUUGCUUGCGGACAUUUGGCCGGUUAAGAUGUCGCUAAUUCCUUUCUAAAGUAGAAAAAAUUAUUUUCACAAUAGUACCAUUUUGUGUGGCCUUUUGUGCCCGUAUUUGAACGCUAGCACGUGACUGGUUCUAAUUGUCUGCUACUGUGAAACUAGGUAAAUCAUUCAUUUUAUAUUGGGGAAUAAACUUAAUCAUCUAGUAGAUAGCGAAUGUCAUUAGUAGCCAAUUCGUAAUGAGCUACGUAAAGGCAGGCGGGUGUGAGUUUCUCAUUUAUUUUUCUUUAGUGUAUGGGGUAACUGUCAGAGCCAGAGGGAGCUUUAUUCAUAUUCGACAAAAGUAUUCUGACACUGUUGAAGAGUCGUUCCCUACUUCCCUUACUCCCCCACUGAAGGAGGGCCACGGAAUUACACCGCCCACAUCCCAAGUUCUGACGAACUACUCUUGAGACAUGGGGAAGUUUGGGUUAGACUAGUUAUGUCUAAAGCCCAUUUUGUGCCUAGUUUAGUAUCAUGGUUUUCGGAGUUGGGUUUGCAUUCGUUUUCAAGUCUGUUUGUACUUGCGUUGGCGGAGACAUUUUAGGGGGGAGAAGAGUUUCUGUUAUGCAUGCAAUUCAAGGGGGGGUUUUGAACGAAUAAAGUUAAGAGGAUACAAAGGAAUUUUGAAAGUGGAAACCUCACUUGAGGAGAUUAUUAGGAUGGUCAAAUUGAAAGCAGCUUCAUUUCAUGACUUACAGUUACAACAAUGAUGUAGUUAAUUAAAAAGACAAAUACUUGCAAUGAAAUCAAAUCACGUUCAAAAUUCAAAUCCAAUAUCUCUAGUCCUGUGAAUCUGCAAGUAUCCACAAAAUUGAAUUUUGGCUUUCUCCAUCUUAAAUUUAAUGAAUCAAGAGAGGAAAAAAUGUGGGAAGCUAGAGAGUCAACUACUUCUACCUAUUUCUCAAAGCAAAUGAAAAAUCUUAUCUUUUCCGUGCCCAGAGUCUUUUCAAACCCCGUCAUUUAGGCUGAAUCUAGUUGCUUUAAUUCUUGUAAUAAGAGACUCCGUAGCAUUACAUACACCUCUCCUCGCAACCAACUUCACCCUGAAGUUAUCAUGUAACAUUUUCAUCCUGUUACCAUCACCAUCUAACUCACGCAGCUGAACGGCCUGCUUCCUUGUUACCAAACCAUAGAGACAGAGAUGACCAGAAUCAAAAUUUUCACCUUGGAAUUUGACCCUUAACAAGGCAUCAGAUUCUAGAUCAAUAGACUUUGGAUCAAACAACGCAGAGAAGCUCCCAAACGUCAGGUCAGGGGUCUCAAACAACUUAUCCAAAUUACCAUUGUCCUCACUCUCAUUAUAUGCUUUAUUAGUUAGAGCCAAUGACCUCCUUUUGGCCACUCUAAGUAUGCUAGCAGCCUCUCUCAUCCCACUUAAAAAGGCUCCAUGCAUUGUCGCCGGAUAUUGUUUAUUAGUUGCUUCCCCUGCAAAGAAAACUCUCCCAUCCCCUACAGUCUCCGCAAGAAUAUCAUAAUCAUCACCCGAAGAACCAACGGCAACAUAAGAGUAAGACCCAUAUGAGAAUCGAUCCUUCCCCCAACGAGUACAGAUUGCCUGAACUGGAUCUGGAACAACAAUUCCUUUUGGAUGGUAAAUACCUCUCAGUAUCUCUAAUACUUUAUUCACAGACUCUACCGGUGACAUUUCCUCAAACUUAAUCGCAGCAUCCCCAGCAACAAGAGCCACGAGAAGUGGACCUCCUGAUACAGAAGAAUAGCUAUAAAAUAAAAAGAACUCACCUCUCAUACUUGAAUCUUCUGUCAAAUGCCCAAAUGUAUCAAUCUCUCCACCCCAAAAAUUAUGUGGAAACAACAUUGCAACUUUAUUAAGCAAUCCAUAUCCUAAUCUCUGAAUUGCAUCUUUCUUCCGCUGAGGAAGCUCAGGUACAAACUCAAUUGUUCCCUUCUUAAGCACACCUAAUGGUACUGUACAAAGAACCAUGUCCCCGCGAAACUCCUGCCCACCAGCAUAAACCAUAACCCCAUCAACACCGUAUCUAAUACUCUGCACAGUCCGUUGAUAAAAUAUUGGAAGAUCCUCAGCAAGUGCUCUAACAAACCAUUCAUUGCCUCCAGGAAUAAAGCAAUGAUCACCACCCAUCUCAUAUGGAUCAUCCUGAUCCCAAUAAGCCAUUGACAAAUUAGACAUCAAGGAAGCAUUUGCAUACUCCAAAUUUGCUAAAUGCCAAUUCAAGAGCAUUCUCUCUUGCAAAUCCUCAGCAACUUUAUAAACAUUUCUAAAAGCUUCAAGUGCAACGCCUAAUGGAACAUCUACAGAUUUAAAUUCCUCAAUCAUAUCAUGUCUAAGCUUGCAAACUCUAUCCAACAAUUUAUUAAACGAUACCUCUACUCCAGAAUCAAUAUCAGCAUCAAUUGCUUUACCAUUAGGUAAAUACAAAGGACAAAUAUCUCUCACCUUAUGAAGUGGCAAUUCUAACUGUCUAGCAAGAACACCAAGAGGGUUCCCAUUUAUUCCAGUGAGGACGCUCCCACCAACAUCAGCUGCAGCCACCACUCCAUCACACUUCAUCUUGCGUGUCUUGACACGUCCACCGGGACGUUCCCUGCCUUCCAAAACGACUACUUUAAACCCCAUUGAAAUCAACUGUCUCGCCGCAACUAACCCCGCAAGACCAGCACCUACGAUCACCACAUUACCCCUCUCCACUCUACCAAAUGACCCCAAUUUCACUUCUUUAAUAGGCGGCGCUAGCCCGAAAUUGAUGUACCCAUGUUCUAGUAAAAAAUCAUACGCUGAGUCAACUAGGGUUUUGUGCUCGGAACGAAUUGACUCGAGCGCCUGCUCACGCGUCAACCAGACAGAAACAUUCGAUCUCCAGAGUGAUAGAAUGUGAUUUCUCACGACAAUGUAAUUAGCUUGCUCGGUACCUCCAAUUUUGGAAACUACAUUCGCUUCGAUUUCUUCUUCAGUAAGUGAAUCAACUGGAAAACCAACUGAGAUUGCAAUUAGGGCUUCGGUGUCGACUUCUUUAGCAAGGCAGGAGAAUCUGGGGCGUCGGUUCCUCGCCAAGGAUGGAUUGCCGUUGAUUUCGGUGAAGAAGCGCUUUCUACGGCGUCGUUUCCUCGGGGGCGGGCCCGGCUCGGAAGGGUUAGGGUUUUGGGGCUGUUGGUCUUCUGGAAUUGGAUCAGAAGAGUCGUCUAGCGAGUCCGAAACGGGAGCCUCGAGUGCAGUAUUUGUUUCCGUGGCGUUCUGGAGCUCAUCAGUUUCCGCCUGGGUUUCGAUUUGACUGGGAGAGAGCGUUGCAUCGGUCUCCGGCGAAGACUCGUCGGAAACGACAUCGUCGUUUGCGUUAUCGGAGGGUUCUUGCGGUGUUUCCAUUUUGGGUUUAUCAUAAAGUCCUUCGGCUUAAAAAAUUGCCCGAAAAGACUAUAACCCCAAGUAAAAGAGUGCGCUAAUUUUUGUAAGGGAGUUUGCUGUUUUUUGCUUUUUUGAGUCACGAUUGGGUUAGGGCCUUAAAACGUAGCCCAAUUCUGACGAGCCAAGUUCAACCCGUCAAAGCUGCCGGCUCUGUUUUAAAAAGCAAGCUUAAUUAAACAAGGUUUAAAAUUUAAAAAGGCUAUAAAUUUUGAGAUUCAACAAACUUAAAAGAAAAAGGACAAAAUUAUCGUGGGAGAGGGUGCACGCAAAUGAAGCCAGUGCCUAAACCAAUUGAACGGUGAUGCUCUCUCUUCUGUCCUUGUAUCAGUGCAUCGUUCAAUUCGUCUUUUGGCUCUGCGAAAUCUCCACUCGCAAACGAUUCGUAAAGCAAAUUCUUGACUGACAAACAAAGGUGAAGGCAGCGAUGAUAACGCGAUCAAAUCUGGCAGAACAAUUGAGGGAAUAUCAAAAUCGAUCGAAGCACGAAUGGGCCUCUGUCUCUUUCUUCUCUUCCACUUCUAAUAUCUCUUCUUCUAGGUAUUUUAAUUUUCCUCUUAAUUUGGCAUUUAUUUUAUAAUUUUACGGCUAUGAACAUUUGCUUUGAUAUUUUCUUUGUCGUUUGAUUGUGCGAUUAAAUUAUCGUUGUUUUAAUUCAAACACUUGUUACAAAUUUAGCAUUUAGCUGGAUUGAUUGAUUUAGAGAAUUUUCAUUAGUUUUAAUUCGAAUCCUUAAAUGUAGGUUAGCCAAAAAGUUGGUAAUAAAUAAUUUUUUGAUGCUAAAAAAAAGGUAAAUUAUUGGAUUGCUUAUUCCACGCAAUGGUUAUGGUUAACAUAUGAAAGUGCAAGAAAUCUGUUGGUGCAAAACUUGAUGUGGUGUUUGUGAUGCGAUUAGAUAAAUUCCGUGCUUUCUAAUUUGUGCAAUCUUAAGAUGCCUUUUCACAGUGCCACUUAAAAUAAUGUAUUCAUAUUUUCAAAUUCCCUUUAGUUUUUGUGACUUCCAACUAUAACUUUUGAAUUCUUUGCUGUGUGAUAAGAUUUUGAAAGAAAAUAGUUUUUGCCUGAUUUUUUCUUGCUGCCUCAAAAAUGGCAUUUAAUUAUGGCUGAGGAAAUGAUGAUUGUAUGGAUGUGUGGAGGUAAAGAGAAGAUAAGAAUAUAUCUAGAAAAUGAGGCAAAUUUAAGAAUAUUCUCUGUGGGUGAUUGGUCAAUGGUUAGGGAUUUGAGGAGGCGACAGUGGGAUAAAGAGGUUGAACUUUUGUUUUAGUUCGAAAUGAUUUUACUGCUGAUAACCGUUGAACUAGCACGGAUCAGGUGUUUAUUUCUUGCUUUUGUUAGGUCAAGCUUCUGCCACAUAAAAUAGGAUAUGUUGUUUUAUUUCAGAGGAUUGAAAUUGUAUUGUGAAGGGGUGUGAGUAAUCAUUGGCUUUAUAUCACGUUGGUAACUAUAUGGGCAUGCUCGAUUUUAUUUCUGUUCAAAUAUAUUUUUUUCAUCUCAUCUACAGCUUUGUUUAGGGAGCUCUAAUUUAAACUUUGCAUUUAUUGUUUUCGCUUUGGUGUUUCUUGGUAAGAACGCUUAUAAUAGUGGUUGUGUCUUUUUCCCCGCUUGCUGUGGAUGCAGGGUGGACGUUGUGAUAUUCGUAAUAUGGGAACUCGUCAUUCUGGCUUUCCUGGUCUUUUCAGCAGUUUCAUUAUACUUUAGGCAUAUGCGACUGGCUAUUAUCUUAGUAAGCAUCACAAUGCUACUGCUUUUAUGCAUGAAAGUUACAAAACAAGUGAGAUUGGCUAGGAAGAAGAAACGAAGGAUGCUUCUUCCAUUGUCUAUGUAGAACAAUACAAGUUGAAAAGUUUUUUCAAGUACCCAACUUUUGUUCUGUAAAUCAUGAAAGUUAUUGGUCCGUGCAUUUGGUCUGAGCUUGCAUUGGUUUAUUUGAUUGUGUUGUUGCACCCAGAGCACAUUGAUUGAAGAAUGACUGACAUGAUCACUUCAACAGUUGGUUAUCAAAGUAAUGUGCAUUUAUCACUCAAAAUGUAAAGUUGGGAUGUCUCAUAAAUGAAGACGGUCUGUAGAAGAUGUCUUUCUCACUAGUACAUUACCAUAUAAACAGUGGCUUUGAGAAAUCUGUCAAAAUUUGAUUAUUUAUGAAAUUGCCAAAAGAUGAUUUUCCUUUUUGUGAUAUCUUAUAAUUUAUGAGUUGCUGAAUGGAUUGUCUUGAGUUCAUUUUGCCAUAAGUAAUAAAAUUGGAUAUAUUUUGGUCACAUUUCUUGUUUCUGAAGCAAGGAAAUAUUAGGAGAUAACGUCAGGAAAUGGAGUGGUCGUUUGCUAAUUUGUUGCUUCGAUCAUAACUGUAGGCUGAACUUCACUGGGGACUUUAGUAAUCAACUAAAGUCCCAGAGCAAGCAUGUUCCCUCUGGCUGUUGCUUCUAUUGAGUAGGGAUGGCAAAAAUUCCCACAGGGACGGGUAUUUUCGGGGAUUUUCCCCAUUCGGGGAGGGUAUGUGGAUAAUUUCAUACCCAACAGCUUAUUCGGGGAAGGGAUGAAGAAAUUUUUUACCCAAUUUCUUAUUCGGGGAGGGGACGGGGAUGAGGUGGAAUCCCCAUCUCCUACCCAUUUUUCCGUUUUAAUUUUUAAUUUAAUUUUUAUUUUUUAAAUUAUUAGUAAAUAAAUAAUAAAAUUUGAAUUUUAAAAUUAUAAGUAUUGGUAAAAAUAAAAAAUAUCAAAAUAUUCAUAUUAUUAAACUUUUAGGCCUAAUUAAUUAAUUAAAGUUCUAAAUUUUUAUUUAGGACAUUAAAAAGACCGGACAGAUUCUAUUAGUCCAAAAUUUUUGUUUUAAUUUUAAUAUUCAUUAAAUAUUUUAAACUUAAAUUUAUUUUUUAUUUAUCUUAAAUCUAUUUUUAUUUAUUUUUAGAUGUUAUAAUUGCUCACAGCAAAUCACAAUUUUAAUAUAUAAUCUAAUAUAAUAUUUGCUCUUGAUUUGCUUCGACUUAACUAUUGUGCUAUAAAAUGAAUAGUCCACAUUUAUAAAGUGCCAAUGCCACCAUUGAAAAGUUAAUUUUGAAUAUAAAUUUGAUUUUAUUUGUAACAAUUUUGUAUUAGGCUAUUAAUUUAUUCAUGAUAGUUUGUAUCCCUUACAUGCUGAGUUACUUACUAAUUUAAUGUAUGUGACUUUUGUAAUGGAUAUUAAUGUAAGAUAUAUUUUGAACUUUAUUUUUAUUUGAAUUUUUUAUUUUAAUAUGAUUAACUUAAAAUCGAAAACAAACAAAAUGUAUUAGUUAUUCGGGGAUCUCCUGUUAUUAUUCGGGGAGGUGAUGAUGAUUCUCUUAAAUAAUUUUGACGGGAAUGGGGAGGGAACGAGGACAUACGCAAAAUAUCGGGAAUGAAUACGGGGAGAUUGGUCCCCUCCCCUCCCCUCCCCAUUGCCAUCCCUACUAUUGAGCCUUGAAGAAGUGAAAUUCAAUUCCCAUGGUAGCUAAACUCCAUGUUGCUCCAAUAACCGCUAGAAUGCUGAGAACCAUUCCUAAAAUUCCUAAUGCCCAAUUGAGACCCCAAAUUGCACUAUAUGUGGUGGGCUUUCUAAUGUGGAUCCACAUGAAGCAUGGAUACGCUAAGGUUAUGGGUAAUGCAAUCCCUCCAAUCAACGCAGCCAAGUUGCGCAAGAAUGGAAGUGCCGCUGAUAUAAAGAAUUCGACGCUUCCAAAGAAGACUCUAAUACCCGAGCGGAGCCACCAUGGACAUGGUUUGUUAUAUUUGCUAGUAUAUUUGAAUUCCAAAUUAUCAAACACCGGCAUAGCAAAAAUCUGAAAUGAGCUGAGACUGCUAAUCACAACAAAUAAGCUUGUCAAUCCCAGAAGCACUUUUGAUGUGUCAUGAUUAUGGUAUUUGUGCAAGGCAUCAAACAUCCCUUCAUUUCCAGGCAUCUGGCAGUAAGCAUCAUAUAUAUCAUUAGCCUUAAAGAAACAAAAGAAAAGUAAACAGAGACAACAGAGACGGUAUUGGCUUUGCUCUCACCAAAUUUCCAUAUGCGGAAUAGCCGCCUAUUGCAAGAGGAAACAAACACAUCGCAAUAAUCAAAUAUGCGAACUUCACUCCUCUCCACAUCGGGAUACGCGAAGGUUUCUUUGCAGUAGAAGGCAUGGUCCCCUGUAACAAUAUCGUCAUAAUUAUAAUUUUUCAAAAUUCAUCAGUUUCAAUAUAUAUUUUUAAUUGAAUAUAUUGCCAUUUCUUUGAAUGAAAAGGUUGAACUUUACUUGUACUUCGAGCACAAGAUUAUGGCCUCUGAAAGCGAAGGCGAUUAUCCCAAGUGAAUUGAGAAUACUGAAAAUGGUAGCCACGUCUGAUAUCUCCUUCACCGGCUCGUAGGAGACACCCACGGGCCUAUCUUUAAUGACGGACACAACCCAAAUGAUUGUACAGUAGCUAACGGCAGUGAUUGCUCCGAUCAGGGAAACCCCAGCGAUUGAAUUUAAGUUGGGAAGUUGAGCCAAAACAACUGCUGCGCAAAUGAACACCAAGUACCACUCUACAGUUGUUAAACGAGUAACGUUGCAUGUCUCACUAGCACCACACACGAUUUCGAAAAAUGUCUUCAACGUGCCACCUCCUAUCAUGACCAAGAUCACACACGUGCCACCUGAUAGAUACAUGAUUGGGAAAAGAGCAAGCAGCUUCCCUCGUUUUUCACCUAAAAAUCUCGCAAUCAUGCGUUAAUUAUUAAUUGGCCUUUUGUGUUUCAUUAAACGGAAGUGCAGGUAAGCCAGUAUUGUAUUCAAGCUGAUUAUUUAGGACAUAUAUAAGGUACUUUGCAAGCAGCUUCCCUUGUUUGUUAUGGUGUUGAUAGGGAAAUGAUGAAGAAGUUGGGUUUGGCUUAUUCUUCGGGAUCCGAAGAAAUUGAUUAUCAAUUAAGGUGAAUACUGAUGGAGUAACUGUAAAGGUAAUCCAGGUCUUUUCAGCUGGUGGAGAGAUUUUCCGUGAUCCUAUCUUGCCGGUUUUGGUUGAUCAUGAUGAGGGUUCACUCGCGUUACUGCUUUUAAGCUUUAUGUGCUUUUUUCAGUCUCAAGUUACGACUAAGCCGUAUUCAUCUGUCUUCAACAAAGAAAAAUGAUAUAGCCUGAAGGAAUGGUGUUAAAGUAUUAAUUAAUUAUUUUGUCUUUUUUUUUGGGUUUAAUUUUUCUAUUUAACUAUUACAGCUCUCCAACGAAUCACACACCGUCUUAUGAGGCUUACUCUCUCUCUCUCUCUCUCUCUAUAUAUAUAUAUAGCUUUGACUGUCGUUUACCAAAUUUGUAUUUUUUUUUUUAUGAGAAUUUGUAUUUUUUUUUAAAAACAAAAAAGAAUUGCACGUAAGUCAUUAUCAACACCAAAUUAAAGCCUGUUAUGUACUUCUUGUACCAUAUAGGACGCUGCUUACCAAAAGCUGCCAUUGAAAGACGGAGGUAUCUGCUGUAGCGUGUCCCAGAUUCCGAUUCAUGCAGCUGAAUCAGUAACCAUAAAGUGUACAGCUGCCAUAUGAAAACCAAUAAGAGACAUAUAAUUCCCCAGGUCCUGCAAAAUAUGAUUAUGAUUAGGUUCAUUUUACAUUACAAGUUCUACAACAAAAUAGAUUAAAAAUGAAAAAAAGAACGAAAAGAAAAACUAAAAACCUAAUUAUGAUUAUGAUCAUGAUCAAAGACAAAUUUAUUAUUUACCAGCCGAGAGUAGUGAAGGCUAGAGGAAGAACGAGGGCCUGAACACCGAUUCCUGAACUGAGAGUGUGAAACGCUGAGUAGUACGCAUUGCCAUUCCUGGAUUCAGUGAUGGGAAGCCAAGCGUCUUGAGGGUCAAGUUUGGUGAAUUGACCAACCUCUUCUAAGUAACCAUGCACACUUGUAAUCGCCUUCUUCAUAGGGCUGACAAUUGGUGUCAUUAAACGCGAAGCCAACGGGCUUCUUGGUGUUCUAGGGGCUGAAUCAGGCAACGGUGAUGGAGGAGCUGAAAUGGCUGUACUUGCUGGGCUCGAAAUCUCACCCAUCUCUAACAAAUUACUUAUUCUAGCUCGCUCUUAUCUUUUGAUAUAUGUGUGUGUGUGUGUGUGUGUAAGUGGAGCUAUAUUAAUUCUUUGACUAUAUUGCUAUAACUCGGGGAGCCACUUUUACUUUUGAUUUAAGGAGUAGUAUACGAUUUGUUUAAUAACUGUGGACGCUGAUCAGUAGGUUAAAUAAAAAUUAAUUAUUGAAUUAAGUGGAAACUUUGACUCGACGACCCCACGUUUGGCUGCUGUCGUCGUGAGAAAUGGCACCAGUGAAUGAGUGGCCGACUCUUUUUUGAAGCUCGCCUCUUUUCCAUCAUGCCGCAGCCGCCACACACGUCACCUUGCCUUCAUCAGCAUCUCCUUUUCUCUCUAGCUACCUAUCUUUAAUUAUGGACUGUUUAAUUUGCAUGUAUAUUGUAUUUUAUGUUGUAUUUUCUCUGUUUUCAUGCACGUAGUUUGUUUGACUGGACAAUCAGGAGACGCUGUAUCGCGCUAAAACCACUUUUUUUUUUAAUAAUGAAAAUAAUUUUUUUUUUAAAAAGAAAGUAUUCCUUUCAUUGCCUUAAGAAGAGAACAAAUACAAGAUUUCAACUGGAAAUUCAUCCAGCCAUAUACAAGAUUCCGACUUUCUAAGAGCUAACUUAGCUAGGUCAUGAGCUAAAUUAUUACAAGUCCUCCCUACAUGCUAAGCUUUGAAAUUCUGGAAACUCUUCUUGGCUUCUAGAAUGUCAAAGAUCACCCAAAAAAGCUUUGUUGAGGUGCUUUGCUUGCUGUUUAUUAGCUCUACCACCCUCUUCGAGUCAGAUUCUAAAAUGAUUGAAGAUGCCCCUGCCUUAAUAGCUUCUUGAAUUCCCCACAGAGCAGUCUUUGCUUCAUACAUCUCCACAUCUCCAAAGCUUUUGACAGUGUUUACUGCUGCCGCAACCACUUCGCCUCUGUAAUUCCUGAUCACAGCCCCCAAACCAGCAAGAUUAUUUUGCUCAUCUAUUGCGGCAUCCACGUUAACUUUGACCCAAUCUUCACUAGGAGGACUCCAUUGGUUUUGCUGCAUGCUUGUCAAUUCCAGUGAGAAAUUGUGCUCUGGUUGCUUUAUUCGUUUGACAGAAUCAGCUAUAGACAUUGCUUUGGCUAUCAGUCGUGAUGGAUCUUCACACUUCCCAUUAAACAGCCAGUUGUUCCGAGCAUUCCAAAUGACCCACAAAAAGGAUGCAACUAGCUCACUAUUUAGAUUGCUAUGAUGUUGGUAUGAGUGGUGAAGCAAAGUAAUAACAUCAGGGAAAUUUUCAACUUUCAAAUCAAUUCCCAGGGAGGAGUAUCUCCACACUUUCCUCGCAAAUUUACAGAACAAUAAGGCAUGAGUUGUGCUCUCUAUCUCAUUAUUGCAGAUUGGACAAGUUGCCUCUUGCAUCACUCUUUUAUUCCUUAAAUUUUCUGUUGUGGGAAGAAGAUUCUUUGCCGCUCUCCAAAGGAAGAUCUUUACUUUUUCGGGGACCAUAAAUUUCUAAGAAGAUUCUUUGCCGCUCUCCAAAGGAAGAUCUUUACUUUUUCAGGGACCAUAAAUUUCUAAAUGAUAUUCCAUUGACUGGGGUUUUGAUUUGAGCAGCUGGGAAUGUCCUGGUGCCUUUGCUUUAAAGCUAGCUGGUAGCCACUUCUAACUAAAUAGUUCCCUCGCUUAUCAUAAUGUCAAAUUAGAGUAUCUCUAUUUUGCUGUCUAGGGAGAGGAUAUGAACAAUUAUUUCAGCAUCAUCUUUACCAAAAUGUUGAUAGAUUAGCUCUUCCUUCCAGCAAUUGUUGUCAUCUAUAAGCUCCGCCACAGAUGCUUCCUUUGGCAAAUUUGGGGGUGAUAUGGGUUUGAAAGUUGUUGGUCUAGGAAUCCAGCUGCCAUUAAGGAUAUUUAUCUGUUGCCCAUUACCGACUCUCCACCUGCAGCCAUUCUUCAACUCUUCUCUUCCCCAAAGAAUGAUUCUCCAAAUGUAAGAUGGUUUAGAACCCAAAUUUGCCUAUAUGAAAGAUGAAUACUUAAAAUAUCUUGCCUUUAGGAGUCUGGCCACUAGAGAACCUGGAUUUUGGAUGAUCCUCUAGCCUUGUUUGGCCACGAGGGCCUGGUUGAAACAUGAGAGAUCUUUGAACCCCAAACCUCCUCUGAUUUUUGCUUGGCACAGAUUCUCCCACCUAAACCAGUGGAUAUUUUUUUUUCUCCUUCGAUGAGCCCCACCAGAACUUGGCUAUUUCCUUUUGCAUAUCGUCACACAAUCCUUGAGGAAGCUUGAAAACACUCAUAACAUAAGUGGGAACCGCUUGCGCCACUACUUUAAUAAGGAUCUCUUUACCUCCACAUGAGAAAAAAUUUUGCUGCCAGUCCGAAAUCUUGCUGAGCACCCUGAGCUUUAUCUCGUUGAAGAAACCCUUUGUCAUUUUCCCUAUCAUUGAUGGAAGUCCAAGAUAUUUUUCGUGCUUAGAGACGACAUUAAGCUGAAAAAUAUGUUUUAUUGCUGCUACAUGCUCCGGCUUUGUGUUGCUACUGAAAAACAUUGAUGAUUUUUCCAUGUUAAAAAUUUGACCCGAAGCCCUCUCAUAGCAUUCAAACACCUUCUUUAGAUUUCUACAUUCGUCAGCCGUUGCUCUAGCAAACAUUAGACUGUCAUCCGCGAACAUGAGAUGGGAAAUAGACAAGUCUUUGCCGAAAUUUAACCCAUAGAUAAGCUUUUAAUGCUCGGUCUGUCUAAUCAGAUUGGAAAAAGCUUCAGCACACAUAAUAAACAGGUAUGGAGACAAUGGGUAGCCUUGUCUAAAGCCUCUUUGCGGAUAAAAUAAUCCUUUUGCUACCCCAUUUACAAUAACAGAAGAAGAAACUAUAGUAAUUCAAUUCAUGAUUAGAUCAACCCAUCUCCGCAAAAACCUCAUUCUCAGCAUAAUUUGUUCCAGAAAAGGCCAUUUCACUCUAUCAUAAGCUUUGCUGACAUCUAGUUUAAGAGCCAUCAGCCCAUGUUUUUUUCCCUUACUAUGUCUUAUCUUAUGCAAGCAUUCAUAGCCUAUAAUAGUGUUAUCCAAGAUUAAUUUAUUCGGGAUGAAUGCACUUUGGGUUGGAACUAUGAUGUAGUAAAGGAUGUGUUUGAGUCUAUUUGCAAUUGUUUUGGCAACUAUUCGGUAAAUAAAAUUGCAAAGGCUUAUGGGUCGGAAAUCGGUUACUCUCGAAGGUUUUGACACCUUAAGGAUUAAUGCAAUAUGUGUAUGAUUUAAAAGGGCAAUGUCACCUCCAUUGUUUAGGAUAUGAAGACAUGUAUUUAUAACUCCAUAUCUGACUAAAUGCCAAUGCUUCUGGUAAAAAGCCGCAAGCAGCCCAUCUGGUCCCGGCGCCUUUGUAGGACUCAUUUGAGAUAUGGUUGUGUAAAUUUCCUCUGCUGAGAAUGAGCUGUCCAACUGUUGAUUCAUUUCAUCCGUGAUUGUUGGGGCUAACUCGCCAAGGGCAGCUAAGAUGUGGUCAGAAUUAAAAUUGGAUGUGGUGAAUAGCUCGGCAAAAUAAUCACAAAAUUGUUUGUCCACUUUUUCCUCAUCUUCCACCCAACUGUUCUGCUUGUUCAUAAUUCCCCAAAUUCUGUUUUUUUACUUCCUUGACGAAGCUUUUGCAUGAAAGUAUUUGGUGUUUCUAUCUCCUUCCUUCAGCCAUUCAACUCUUGACCUUUGUCUCUAAUAAAUCUCCUCAUCCAUCCACAAAUUCUCAAUUCGCUUCUCUAAACUCACUAUCUCAUUGUCUUCUUCAUAAUGCACUUGAUUAAGCUUCAUCUCCACCAGCAUUUUCUUCAACUGCUCCACUUUUUUCUUUCUAUCACCAAAAUGUUGCCUAUUCUAUAACAAUAGCCGAGCCAUUGAGUCUUUUGUUGCUUUGUUAAAGCAUUGAACCAGAUCAUUUUUAUCCCAACAAGCCUUCGUUUCCCACUCUUCUUGAACAAUAUGCUUACAAUCUUCAUAAGGGCUCCACAUGUUCUCAUAAUGCAGCCUACAUAUCAUUCUUCGCUGAAAAUUCACUCCCCUGAUUCUGGUUUGCACUUUCAGCAUAAUUGGGGUGUGGUCCGAGCACCAUGUAUCUAGGUUAUAAGCAACCAGUUCAGACAAACCAGUUUCCCACUCCUUCAACCCAAAAAAUCUAUCUAAUUUUUUUUUAACAAAAUUUGGACCAAAUCAUCUAUUUGACCACGUAAAAAGGUACCCUCUACACUCAAUGUCAGCCAACUUGCACUCCCUCAUUGCAUCUCUAAACUCAGCCACCAUACUUAAGUUUCUAUCAUUCCCACCCAUUUUUUCAUUGGGGUUUAAGAUUUCAUUAAAAUCUCCAAAACAAAUCCACGGGUAAGUGAAUAGACCUGCAAGCCUUUUAAGGAGUGUCCACGUAUGUCUUUUUUGCCCCGCCUCUGGAUGCCCGUAGAUACUCAUGCACCUCUAUUGUUUUCCAUCUACCCCUCUGACAAUAGCAUCAAUGUGAUGGUUACUAUAGGAGGCAAUCUCCAAGUCCAAGUCUUCAUUCCAAAGCAUUGCCAAACCACCCCCAUGCCGCUUCUACCUACAGCAAAACAAUUAUCUAACCCCAGCCUCUUCCCCAUAUUCAUCAUGUGGCCAUACUCCAAUUUCGUUUCACACAGAAAAAGAAUUCGAGGCUGAUGUUUUUGGAGAAUGUCUUUUAAUUCAUGGAAUGUUCAGGUAUUCCCCAAACCUCGAACAUUCCAACUUAAGAUACUCAUUGCUUUCGGCGGGGCUGACAACCAGCCUCCGCCAAUAAUUCCUCCAUAAUUGGUUCAGGCACCUCCAUAAGUUCCAUAGUUGUUACUUCCUAGCUGAGUUUGAGAGUUUUUGAGAGAGGCUUAGUUGGGCUAACAACCAAGACUUUUUUCACAGGGCUUGCUGUUUUGGCUUUUUUCUUUUUCGGACUAGGCCACAUCACCUCGCUGCAUAAUCGUUUUGAUACCAAAGUCCCAGCUUUACUAGGUUUUUUGUUUGUAUCACAGGCUUGACUUUUCCAUCUUUUCCAUUUGGGCCUCGAUUUUUUUGCCUUUAGCCCAUCGUCUACAACUUCUUCCUCUGAGCUCAUUUGGGUUGAGUGCGUUUCAUUUGCUCGUUUUUCUUCUUUGCCCGCCAAGAUUUCAUUCCCCUUUCCAUUUCCUCCAAUUUUUCCUUUUUCUAGCAAAUAUCUCUCUUGUAUGUCCUGCAUUCCUGUUACAUCAGAAAUUUUAGCUGCACCGUGCAGCUUUUUGUCAUUGGAUUGCAUCAGCUUUUUUUUGCUUCCUUCAAAAUUGUCAGCAGUCACAGCACCCUUAUCCAUGUGUCCCUCCCUUAUUAGCCCUCCUUCCAUAUCCAUGCUUUCUUUAUUCAAUGUGGAUCCGAAUUGAUGACCCACGUUUAAGUUGGGUGAACCCGAGUUUGGGAUUUCUGCACUAUCCGAUUCUGGAACUUCUUCUCUAGAUUUUUCGUGCUUCCUACUCCAUUUCUCCCUUGCUCUGUUUAGCUUGGUUCUGUCUGCUAAUGAUACUACUUUUAACCAUGGUAUGAACGGUAAAUUUUCUUUCUGCUGGCCUUUAUACUCCAUACAUUCUCUGAACUGGUGUCCAAUGCAUCCACAACAAAAGCAGAAGUCAGGUAAUCAUUCAUACACCACAGGCAAAUGGAUGUCCUCUUCAUCUUCUUGCUUUAGGACUAUAAGUUUCUUCAAAGGUUUUGUAAUAUUCACUGAAACUCGGAUACGUACAAAUUCCCCAAAGCAUUCACCCUAUGCAUCCAUGCCUAUAUCCUCCACCUUUCCAACCCUCGACCCCAGCUCUCGGAUAGUAUCCAUGCACAUCAAUGGCACAUUAUGGAUUUGAAUCCAGAAAGAGACAUGAGAAAAAGAUUGUUUUUUGAUACUACCAAUACCCUUUGGUUCUUGGAGAACCAUCAAGGCUCUAUCAAAGUGCCACGGUCCUCCAUUUAAGACUCUUUUUAUCAGCUUCUGAGAGAAACUUAAAAACGAAUAUGUUGCUACCUAAGCUUUCUACCUUGAAAUCAUGAACAGUACGCCAAGCUUGGUCCAAAGCUGUUUUGAGUCCUUCACGAUUUACCCCUCUCGCUAGAAGAAUUUUUCCAACAAGACAACCAGCAACUACUUUGGAACCCUUUUCUUUCAUCUGGCCCGCAAAAAUAAAUUUGUCUGUUUCCUCUCCUUCAAGUGUUAUGGCUUGACACUUCCGUAUUAACUCUUCCGUUUCCAUCUCCAAGCCACUAGCCCACGAUAUUUAUUGUAGUAUUUUGGAUUUUGCUUUGAAAAACCCUCACCAACCCCUCCUGACCUUCCGAGGAGGAUUUUCAAAAAGCAAAAAAUAAUUAAAAGCUUCACCCACCCCUUUGGAAUAAGACAAAGGAAGAGGAAGACAAAAGAAUCACCAAACACUCCUUAUGAGUGAUACUCAAGGCCAUGAAGGCCUGAUGUAGCUACCAUUCUACCUUUCCUCAUUUCAGAGAAAAGAAAGGAGAGUCUUACAUCCGAAUCUUUUAACUUAUUCUUUACUUUAUAUAAGGGAUUCCAUAAUGAAAACAUAUUAAAGUUAAAUAUUUGCUAUGAAUAUACGGACCUAAAAUGAUUCUCCUCUGAUAUAAGUUCUUACGAUUAAAUUAAAAUUAAAAUACGAGCGAGUGUUUUAUAUUGUUUAUAUACUUCGAAUUAUACAUAACUUGAAGUUCAGGCUCCAGAGUUCACUGGAAGUUAAGUGUUAGAUCAUCAGUCGGGACUUGGGAAAAAAAUUAUAAAAAUCAGAAAAUUUGAUCAGUCUAGUCGGGCUCAAAACUACAAACAUACUCUUUCGAUACUGCCAGCAAAAAAUAAAAUUGAUAGUCAUUAAUAAAACCCCUUCGUGCGCUGUGGGAAAAGGCGCCUUGUCAACUUUCCUCGUUACUUAUUUCCUAACUUUAUUUCAAUCUUGUCCAAAUUGCUUUUGUUUGAAAAUUUCUCUGUGAUUUGUCUGCGGAUCAUGAUGUUUAUUUAAUUUAUCACUCUUCAUCUUCUUGCUUUAGGACUAUAAGUUUCUUCAAAGGUUUUGUAAUAUUCACUGAAACUCGGAUACGUACAAAUUCCCCAAAGCAUUCACCCUAUGCAUCCAUGCCUAUAUCCUCCACCUUUCCAACCCUCGACCCCAGCUCUCGGAUAGUAUCCAUGCACAUCAAUGGCACAUUAUGGAUUUGAAUCCAGAAAGAGACAUGAGAAAAAGAUUGUUUUUUGAUACUACCAAUACCCUUUGGUUCUUGGAGAACCAUCAAGGCUCUAUCAAAGUGCCACGGUCCUCCAUUUAAGACUCUUUUUAUCAGCUUCUGAGAGAAACUUAAAAACGAAUAUGUUGCUACCUAAGCUUUCUACCUUGAAAUCAUGAACAGUACGCCAAGCUUGGUCCAAAGCUGUUUUGAGUCCUUCACGAUUUACCCCUCUCGCUAGAAGAAUUUUUCCAACAAGACAACCAGCAACUACUUUGGAACCCUUUUCUUUCAUCUGGCCCGCAAAAAUAAAUUUGUCUGUUUCCUCUCCUUCAAGUGUUAUGGCUUGACACUUCCGUAUUAACUCUUCCGUUUCCAUCUCCAAGCCACUAGCCCACGAUAUUUAUUGUAGUAUUUUGGAUUUUGCUUUGAAAAACCCUCACCAACCCCUCCUGACCUUCCGAGGAGGAUUUUCAAAAAGCAAAAAAUAAUUAAAAGCUUCACCCACCCCUUUGGAAUAAGACAAAGGAAGAGGAAGACAAAAGAAUCACCAAACACUCCUUAUGAGUGAUACUCAAGGCCAUGAAGGCCUGAUGUAGCUACCAUUCUACCUUUCCUCAUUUCAGAGAAAAGAAAGGAGAGUCUUACAUCCGAAUCUUUUAACUUAUUCUUUACUUUAUAUAAGGGAUUCCAUAAUGAAAACAUAUUAAAGUUAAAUAUUUGCUAUGAAUAUACGGACCUAAAAUGAUUCUCCUCUGAUAUAAGUUCUUACGAUUAAAUUAAAAUUAAAAUACGAGCGAGUGUUUUAUAUUGUUUAUAUACUUCGAAUUAUACAUAACUUGAAGUUCAGGCUCCAGAGUUCACUGGAAGUUAAGUGUUAGAUCAUCAGUCGGGACUUGGGAAAAAAAUUAUAAAAAUCAGAAAAUUUGAUCAGUCUAGUCGGGCUCAAAACUACAAACAUACUCUUUCGAUACUGCCAGCAAAAAAUAAAAUUGAUAGUCAUUAAUAAAACCCCUUCGUGCGCUGUGGGAAAAGGCGCCUUGUCAACUUUCCUCGUUACUUAUUUCCUAACUUUAUUUCAAUCUUGUCCAAAUUGCUUUUGUUUGAAAAUUUCUCUGUGAUUUGUCUGCGGAUCAUGAUGUUUAUUUAAUUUAUCACCAUGCCCAUGAAGUUCCAAUAUAUAUAUAUAUAUAUAUAUAUGAUUCAACGGAUAUGAAAAAGAAACUUGAUGGCCAUGGGGAGCAAAACCACUUCAUGGAUAAGGACGUGGCCAUUUCAGUCGUAGCUUGCUAUUGCACAUGCAAAACAAUACUUUAACCUGCCAUGAAAUUAAGCUUUCUUUCACCUCUUUCAGUGGUGGCUCUGAGAUCACCACAACUUUAAUUUGUUUAUAUGCAUGUGAAAGUUGCUUUGGAUAUUUUUCUCUUUUUUAAUUUUUCUACUUUUGGUAGAGACGACUUCUUUUUAUCUUUUUCUUUUGGUCAAGACAUGCACCCGUUUUUCAUAUGUUUGGGAUCAAUCAUUCAGAGUAUGGCAAAGACUUUAAAGAUGAAAGUCGACUGAAAAAUUAUAAUCAGAUAGAUGAUGUAAAUUAUUUUUAUUUUCAAACGGUAAAUGAACAAAACUUACUUCUUCUUUGGUGAAAUUAACCAUUAUUUCCUUCAUUAGCUUUUACAACUCAAUAGAACACUGUGACAUUAAUAAUACCCAACGUUUCUUCUUUUUGUUUUUUUCCCAAAAAAAUUAGUGCUAUACAUAUACCAUAUACAUGAAUGCAUAUUAAAUUUUUUUUUUUUUUUGUCUUAACCACGAGGUAUCGUGGGGAGGGCUCCAACUGUGGGAGGCACCUUUAAGCCCGUACCACAACCCAGACUAGAAGUCCCCGCUCGAACCUGGAGGCACAUGUUCUCCCAAUAAAGACGACUUCCUUGCGACUCGAAUUGGGGAGCAAACUCAGUCAAGCCACUUAAGGGAGACUCCAUUACCAAUAGAGUCAACAUUUUGUUGGUUGCAUAUUAAAUAAUUUAACGUAGCAAAUAAAAAAUGUCGUAUGGUCACUGAUUAGGUGAAUGGCAUGCUUAAUCAUUUGCACAAAUUCAAGUCCAUGUGAAUCUUUUGCUUCAAUAUGUUUUGUAAGCUAACUACAACAUUUUCAUUUUUUGCAGUGGCCAGAAUACACACAUAUUAAAAAAAAUGACCUUAGUAUAAAUUAAAUUAAGCUGAAAAAGGAAAUUAAUAUGCCGAUUCCUAAGAUUAACAAAAAUAUUGAAUUUUUUAUUAUUUUUAUUUUGAUAAAAAAAUUUGAAAUAAGGGAUUUCUUAUUUUAAUAAAAUAGAAAAUAAAUUUAAAAAAAACACACACACAAAUACAUUAAAAUAUAAAAUAAAUUAAAAUUCAGUGUUGAAUUGAGAUUUUACUCAAUAAUAUAUUUCCAUCUGUCACAAAGAUACAUUAGAAUUAUUGUUUGUUUCCUUUUUUUUUAAUUUUUUGACCUUGACCAAUAACACAUCGUUUUGGAAUAAAUCUUUUGCUCCAAAAGGGCAAAAACUCCUGCGUUUGCUUUCCGAAGACUCCGCGUGUUUGCUUUCCGCCUCGACUCUUCCUCCUUCAUCUUAGGCACUUACUUCCAUGGGCGGAUCUAGCAUGUGACCAGUGGGGGCUCAAGCUCCCACUGGCCAAAAAAUAAUUGUAAAAAUAAAAAAGAAAAAUAUUUUUAUUUUCUAAUUAUCCCUCAUUAAAUUUAUUAAAAUAGUCACUAUAAAUUAUAAACCCCAUAAAAUUUAAACUUUAACUUUUAAGAAUUAUAAAAACUUAUAUUUUAAUUAAAAAUAAUGAUAGCCCUCCACCCAAAAUAUUUUCUAUUCUCAAAAAUAAGAUUAAUUCUUACAUUUUCUAUAAUAAUAGUAAAGAGAACGUUUUCAGUAAUGAAACUCAUUAAUAAUCAUCUUUGGAAUUGGAUGAAAUAAAUGAUAGUUUGGUUGUUUAUAUAAGAAAUAAUAAAUUUAAUAAUAUUGAUGACAAGUCUAUUGCAUAAUAUUUUUAAAAUAUGAAAUUUCGUAGAGAAUAAUUAUAAAUGUAUUAAUAAAUAUUUUAUAUAUUCAAAAUUUUAAUUUUUUAUAUUUUACUAUUAUCUAAUUUAGCCCCCGGUAAAUUAUUCUUCUAGAUCCGCCACUGCUUACUUCCACCAACAUCACAUCAAUUGAAGAAAUUUCAACAGCAGCAAAAUUCAGUUUGAUUUUUUUCAGAUUUUGUUAUUAAUUUAUAUUCUGUCUAUUGCUCUUUGUUGUCAUUGUUUAAUGCUAGAAUUAUCCCUCUUUUUAAAAACUCUUUUCCAUAUGAAAUUGCUUUUUUUUUUUUUGGUUUUAUCAUUUCUUCUAUGAGGAAUUUCGCCAAACAGGUGGCCGACAUGAAAUACAUCUAGAUUUGUUUUAGUGCAAUUGAAAAUUAACACCUCAAAAAUUGAUCAUGAAAUCGACACAAAAUUUACAGAAGCUGAAAUGGAUCAUCACAUUGAAGAUUUGGACAAAAAUAAAGAACGUGAAUAGGUAAAGAUGAAGUUUUGGAACAUACCGUCAACAACCAAAUGAUUCCACCCCAAAGAAGAAAAUGACAUACAAAAAACAUUAAAGGAGUAGAACUUAGUUGCACACUUGACCAAGUUGUUUUUAAGAAUUUUUUUAUUUAACCUUUGCUAUCCAUGUUCAUAUAUAUAUAUAUAUAAUAAGAAAAUUCUCAUUUUAAUAAAAUAAAAACACCACUAAUAAAUAAAAAUAACAUAUUUCAAUAUACUAACAGGUAAAAAAUAUAUUUUUUAAUGUAUUAAAACCUGUGCUUUUUUGGUAUUUUAGUGGACGUCUUCAUUUUAACCAAAUGACAGUACUCUCACUAGAGCUGGCAAAACGAGUUAUCGGAUCGUGUUCGUGUCGUGUCGUGUCAAAUUUAGAUUAACCCAAACCCAACCCAUUUAAUAAUCGUGUCAAAAUAUUGUGACACAAACCCGACACAGAAAAAUAAUCGGGUUACCUAAUAACCUGCUUAAUAGCUAUAUAUUAAACAAAAGUUACAUCAAAUAUUUACACAUUGUCAUAAAUACGUAUAUACAUUCAUACAUACAUAAUAUAUCAAUAUUAUAAAAUAUACAUAUCUAACAAAAUAUUACACAUUUACACUACUGAAGUUUUAAUUAUAUAUAUAUGUAAAUAAUAUUGUAUAUGAAUAUUAUAAAAUAUACACGUCUACUAAUAUUUUACACACUUACACUAUUGAAGUUCUAAAUGUAUUUAAAAUUUUAUAAAUAAAACAUUGUGUUUAUGUUUAUCCUUUCAAAGAAUAAAAUUAAAAGAGAAAAUCAUCUCUAAUAUUUGAGUUUUAACGACAAGAACCUGCAAAUUAUUUUAAAAUAUAAAAUAUAAUCGGGUCAUUGAUCGAGUAAAUAGGUCAAGAAUUUUAACCCUAACCCGACACAGAAAAAAAUCGUGUCGACCCGGAUCUGACCCAUUUAAUAAUCGUGUAAAAUUUAACAACUCAUACCCAUUUAUUUGUGUCGGGUAAUCGGGUCGUGUCAAAUUUUGCUAGUUCUAACUCUCGCAAAAAAAUGACUCUAUAUAUAUAGUGAUAAACGAGAAGAAAUAAUCAUAAUAAAUACUAGCACGAAGCGAAACACAAUCAUGUCCCUAAUAAUGCUAUUUGUUACAAGAAUCAAAUUACAAAUAUAUAUAUUACCAGUUUUAAAUAGAAGAGUGAACAGUAUCAGCUGAAGUUGUGGAUGGUUAUUGGGGAAGGACUUAUCAGCCGAUAAGAAGCAGCAGCAGAGCAUUUACUAGAGACCAUAAAUACAAGCAAUGCCUUGAGAAAAUUUUUAGACGCAGGAUUCUGAACAAUAUAGAUCACAUACUCCAAAAACGCUGCGUUGCAUGGCAAAAUUAUUGGCCCAUCAGUGGGUAACCCAAACUCUUCCUCAGACAUCUCAAAUAAUUCUCUGAAAAUGUUUGUAUGCAAAUAUGCCAGAGGAAUCACAAAGCGUCUCAAAUCGGUUGAGUACACAACAAAAUGGCCCUUGUUAGCUUGCUUACAAUUGCUGAUUCCGGGCAAUGCAAUCGAUCUUCGACCAACGCCGGCCAUUUUUCGCCACUUCAUAGCAAUGACAGUGAGUUUUUUCAAGCCAAUCAUGGAGGUUUUGUAAUGAAAAUAAUCAAAUUAAAAGAGAAUAUAGAAGCAUUGAAGACUCUUGUGAUGGCUUUGGAAAUUUAUACAUGUGUUCGAGUAAAAGAGUUGACACAAGUUUCAUCCGAAACCAUGUGCUGCUUGGACAGCGGAGAUGGUUUUAGAUGUGGGCUUGUUUUGGAAUUUUUUGAGGAUCUAAGAUCGAAAACGUUAGUGGGACAUAACAAGCCACAAGGAUAAUGAUAUGCGGCCUCUUCUAACAAUAAUAAUUGUGACGAUAAACGAAAAAUAUUUUAUUUUUUUAAUCAUUAGGGUGAAUACUUUCUGUUGAUGUUUCCAGGGCUUGGGGUUAGCGUUAGAAAUACCGUUCAUCUUUAUGAAUUUUGCUCAAACUGUUACGUUUCAACAUUGUUGUUAUUAUUAUUUUUCAAAAAAAAAAAAAUAGUUAUUAUGGAGCCACUAUGACUUGGCACAACGGUGGGUGCGUGCUGGGCACAAGUUGGAAUCUUCAUUGGGAUUCAAACAAUGUGGGUGAAGAUAAAUUUUUUCUCAAAAUAUUAGUGGUAGUAGAGUAGAUUGUAACUAAUUAAAAAAAUAUUAUCAUUUUAAUAUUUAUAUAUAUAUUAAAACUAAAUAAAGAUAACUAAUUUUAGAUCAUAUUUAAAAAUGAGUGGUACUAAGUAGAGAGAAAAUUGAGAAAAAUUAGUUCUCUCUCUACGCACCCACUCUCUCUAUCAUUUUCUUCAUUAUUUCUCUCAACAUUCUCUUUACAUAGCAUUUUAAAAAUAGGAGAAUGUCUGCACAUACCUCUAAAAUAAUAUAUGCGCAAAAAGAUCAUGCUUUUGGCAGAGCUGCGCCAGUAAUGAAAUGAAAAUAUAUCUAAACACACACUAACGAAAACAGGCUUCGUGAGUAGCGAUUAAUUUUUCGGAUUUUUCGCAGUGGGUGAUGAAUUCGCAGCGAGUCCAGACAGAUUUGCAUAAAAAUGAUAUAUUGGUUAGUCGUGUGAGAAAGAAACCAACAAAAAGUUGGGUUGCACAUGCAUGGAUAGUUGCAAGUUGCAACUCCUAUUUCCAGUUAGAAGUUGAAAACUGUUAACUCUAGGCUCUAGCUACUCCUGAUUGGCGCAGUUAUCAUCUACCUAGUGUUUUAAUAUUUUGUUGCCCCCUGUCACAUAAUUGUGAAAAACGGAAUAAGUGCACGAGUGAAUUAUAUACUUUCUAGAACAAAUAAACUGUAUACAUAUACAAGAUUUUUUCUGAUGAUGUUAUGAACUUUUUAUCUGGUAAAUUAAUAGUCCGUACACUCCUAUAAUUGGUAACUAAUAGACAAAGAAAGAAGUAAAACUUGAUCAUACGCACCAAAAGAUUUAGCUAAUUAAGUCUCAUGCGAUAUACUUUCGUUUGAAUAUGAGCAAGUUCCCAUGCAUUGUAAUGGUGAAGACACCGGAACAUGAUUCUCUCCUGAUCUUACCAUUACUAAGCUUUUAAUGAUAUUUUGCCAUGUGUCUUUUAGUGGUAGUGUAAGGGUAAAAUUUAACUUCUUUUACUUUUUUAUUUAUUAACAACCAAUCAGUGAUUGAGUUAUUUGCUUAGGUCAUGAUCAGAUUAUGAGAGAAUCCUGAUCUGAAGACACCAUGUACGUAAGAGAGAGAUAAGAAAAAAAGAAACGGGGAGGUUUACAUGUGCAUGCAGAAAGACAGACCAUAUAGAGCUAAUUAUGGAUAUAUAUCAUUUUUGGUAUCAUCUGGUACAUAAAGAUACAGAAGGGGAAAAGACCAACUGCGCAAGAUCCAUGGGAUAAAAUUGAACUCAUUGUUUGCCAAUGUGGUAGUGCUUUAUAUAGCACCAACUUAACAUAUAAGUUCACUAAUGAAUGUGAAAAAAUAAGACUUCACAAUGACAUUAUAAAAUAAUGGCACGUCAUUUGUUACAUUAUGUAGGUAUAAUUUUCUAUCACAAAUUUAUAAAUAUAAUGUUAUUAAUGAUAACAUUAUAUAUAUCAACUUGGAAAAGAACUAUAUUAUAUUAUAUUAUAUAUAUCAACUUCUACUUGUUGAAGUACACUAUUUGCCUUUCAAAUUUUAAGUAUUGUUUGUGCGAUCAAUGGCUAAGUUUCUUGCUCAUUGCCUAAGAUUUAAUAUUACUAAUAAGUAAUAAAGACAUUAUCAUGCAAUAAUAAGAUAAAAGCAGAAGUAUCAAGCUACAUAUUCAAGUUCUCCAUAUCUUUGGAUUCUGAUUAAUUUGGAUUCUGUCUCUCAACAUUAAUUUAGGGUUGUACAUAGAAAGCAAAAUCUCGAGCGAGUGAAAUUUUGUCGGGGUAUAAAAUAUGGGACACAAGCCAUGUGGAUCACCACCUUCACUACGUGGUUACGGAAAUGGGCAUGUUCGGUUAAGACAAUAAUAAGCAAUCCUUUAGAGUUGGUUGGUGAUCCACACACUGAAUAAAGAAUUAGACAUCCAAGAAGAAGCUAAUUAAUCAACAUUUUACGAUAUAUAUAUAUAUAUAUAUGUUUCUCUUUAACAAAACGACAUGGCACCCAUGAAAAAAAAUAGGCAGAUGGAGGUCGGAAAAAGUCUCUUACCUGUAACACUAGCUAUUGUAUAUAUAAUAUGUACACACGGGCGAGUUUUUCAUAAAUAGCGUGAACAAAUUGGAAUCCGUAUUUGGAGCCAUAACACGAAAUAAUAAAGCUGAGAAGGUCGAUCUCCAGGUGAAAAUUUCACAUUAAAAUUGGCUACUAUAUAAAUUUAUGUAUAAAUCAUCUCGCUCGGACUCAAAUUAAUCCGCCCACAUAUAUUAGUAGAAAAUAUUUGUUAAGUAAAUAUAUGCACCAAAUAUUUUAUGUUUUCAUCCGUUGUGCUUUAAGAAUUAAGUAAAACUGUAAAAGCAUAACUUCUCUAUAGCGUAAAGUUGUACAUAAAGGAUCCACCGAAGAAGAAGAAGACUUCUCUAGCAAAUUAUACAUAAGCGUAAAACACAUCAUGUAAGAAGCAAGUUGCAAAUUUUUAUUUAAUUAACCUCACAUGUAUGUCUCGAACCCCACUUGCACGAAUCAUGAUUUAGAAAUUAGAACUAAGAUCUUCUCCAGCAAUGUUGCUAUUCUGUUCAGCUAGUUAUUUACUUUUUGAUCAUUGAUUUGAAUAAUUUCAGGAAGUGAGAAAGUUAAUUCAACCACGUCUAUGGAUCGACCAAUACAUCAUCUAUUUGCUAAGCAAAAAUCCUUCCGUAGAUGUGGAGGAAUCUCUAGUCUCCGUGACUACUUGCAAGGGAGCUUCAUUGUCUACUUUCUUUCCUCUCUCUUAUGCUAAAGUCAAGGUGACCGUCAAAAUGUAGUUUCAUAAGGAUAAUGAGUCUGCGUCUCACCGAGGCUUGUGCAUAACAUCACAACUAGUACAGGAUUUGUUUUUUCUCCUAUUUUUUGCUACAAGGAGUUUUAGGAUCCGUAAAUAAGGACUGGGCAACUUUGAAUUUUGAUGAAUCCAAUUCGAUUUUGGAUUGUUCGGAUUAGGAAAAAAAAUAUCAUCAAAUUCAAAAUUAGAUGAUAUUUAAGAUGAAUUCAAGCUUGGAUCAAUUCGAAUGAAUUCAGAUUUGGAUGAUAUUUCAGAUUUCAUUUAAGUUAGUAGUUCAAUUCAAUCGGAUUCUUUCGGAUCAAUCUGGAUUCGAUCCGAUUCAAAACAAAUCGGAUCAGAUGGCACAAACUAUAUCCAAUCCGAUAUCAGGCAAUAUUCAAAUCUGAUCCGAACUGGAUCGGAUCGGAUCUAUAUGAAUCCGAUGCCGAGCCCCACCAGAAAUUAGAUGCGCUUAUGUAUAAUUUUUUGCGCAAUUACAAAUAUGACGAAUUCCUCUAAUCUAGAUAACUUUCUUAUCAUAUUUUAUAGUUUGAAAGUGCAAUUCAAAACAUGUCAGCACAAUUAUAUAGAUUUCCAAUUCUCAAACCCGAGCAUGCCGGAGUUCCAAAUUGUCUAAAACAUGAUCCCUCCUACAAAUGCACAAAUGUGGCCCCUGUUUAUUCAUAUAGAUCAUUACAAGAAAAACAAAACAUCUAAAUUUCAGUGACAAGGCAAAAUAUAUAUAAACCAGCAUAACGGAUUUUAGUACAGCAUAAUUUUGCUACAGGCAUAAACAAGAUGUUGAAUGAGAAAUAGAACCACUACUUCUCUGUUUGAGGCCCUCUCUUUGGGCAAAAGCCCCAGGCAUUCAAAGUUUGGAUGUCGCAAGCUUGAUGAGAUCCUUCCUGAGAAUCUUGCCUGAUGGAUUCUUGGGUAUUGAAGCUACAAAUGCCACUCUCCGAACCCUCUUGUAUGGGGCAACCUGAAAAUUUAAACAAAACUGCUAAAUUAACUGUUCCAUAACUAAUUCAAAAGCCUUUAAAUAUUUCCGACCAAUACGAUCUAAAACACCUGUCUUGCUACAAAAUCCAUGACUUCAUUCUCUGAUAAUCGACUUCCAGCUUCCCGUACCACAUAUGCCAUGGGAUAUUGCCCAGCCUCCUUGUCAGGAAAUCUGAGAAACCAUAUACCAAACUAAAUCUCCAUUUUAUUUUAUUUCUUUUAACAAAAAAGAUCAUAAAUCUGUUUGCAGGAGUAAGUUUCCGGAGAUACUUUUUUUUCCCAAUCCAACACCCCCCCCUCCCCCCAACAUUUCAGUAACACAAAUCAUUAAAGAGGCACUUAUUUUUAUAAAAAGGUGAGUUACCAUGCCCUCUAUAUACGAACAGGAAAAAAGACUUACGGUACGACAGCAGCAUCAGAAAUUUUUGGAUGAGUUAGUAGCAAAGCCUCUAGUUCUGCUGGAGGGACCUGUCACAUUGAGAUCCAAAACUAUGAGAGGAUGUGCAUUAAGCUAAUACUUCUUUCUUUCAGAGCAUGAACCAAAAUGCUUAGCUACAUUGCAUGCAAAUCAACAUCACAGUGUCAUACUUGCAGCUCAUAAUUAAAAAAAAAAAAAAUUGACAAAUAAGGUUAUGUUAAAAAAUUGAAUACACAAUGUUUCAUUCACCUGAUAACCUUUGUACUUGAUCAGCUCCUUUAAUCGAUCAACAAUAAAAAUGAAGCCAUCAUCAUCAAUGUAGCAGAGAUCUCCAGUUCUUAACCAUCCUUCAGAAUCAAGAGUUGAUGUUGUAGCUUCUGGAUUACUGAAAUAACCUGCAACAAUAUUCCAAGCAAGUAUUUAUAAAACGAAAUUUGUCCAACAAUCACAAGCCACUCAAACAUGUGAAGUCUAUUUUGCUGAUUUUUUUUUUUUAAAAAAAAGGUGGAAGGGUGGGCAAAGCCCAAAUAAUUUUUUUAACCUUGGCCUCUCAACAAAAAAAGAAAAAACUUGAAAACCAUUGGGUCAGCCCCUGGGGGCUGAUAUUUACAAUUAAAGAGGUUCAUUUCACAAAUUAGUUCAAAAGCUGCAGGCAUUCGUUGACAAGUUAAUACAAUAUCUUUUCUCUUCUUGGAUGAAACAUCCGAUAUAUCCAAUAACAGUAAAACAGUAUAAUUGCUAUAACUUGUCCAAUUAUACAAAUCACCUAGCAUUAGCCAUCAUAAACAAAACGGAUUGAGUAGUGCAUUGAGUUCUUAAAACCAACAAAACGAAAGCAGCUCAAUGCCUCAAUCAACUUAUAGUAGAAAUCUCUUCAUUGGUUAGCAUUAGUAAUCCUUGAUUAUUUUGUUUAGUGGUUAUUUUUUUGCUACACUAGUUGGACCAGGGAGAAGACAAAAAUAUCCACUUGUGAAGUUGCACAAUUGCAAAAGCCGAAACUCAGCUUGCAAAUACAGCAUUUGACCAAUAAUGGGAACUCUUGAUUACUCAUUUAACUACAAGACAGCAACGUCGUUAAUUGUUUAUUACUUCAUUUUUCCUUUUUUUUUUUCAUUUUUAAUACACGACAUCGUUAAUUCAAAUAAUGGAGCUUGUCUUACAGCGAGACGCACCAGCACUAUCAUUAUUUUAUGGUCAAAGAUAGUGUAAUGUAUGAUUAAAUUAUUCUAGCACAAAUUUAGAGAGACGAAUAUCACCUACAAGAUACGAACUUAUGUGUCGUGUGAAUAGUUGAAACUUGAAAUAUAAAUAAUAAAACAAAAUCACGCGGAUCACGUGAUUUUGCCAUUUUGAAAAAUGGGAUUCCAGCUCACACUACCUUUCAUGAUGGAUGGACCCUUAAGCCAAAGCUCACCCGUCUGAUUCACCAACAACGCCUUGCCACUGUCUGGGUCCACAAUCUUCGCCUCCAUGCUCGGCGACAGCAUUCCCGCCGUACCAUACUUUCGACUCUCCUCCAACGAAUCCGUUGACGCUCCAAUGCCCGUUGACUCGGUCAAACCAUAACCCUGAAGAAUCCUCACCUUUGGAUAUUUCUGAACGAAUCCUUCUAUCACUUCCCUACUCAGCGGGGCCCCACCGGAUAAAACCGAUUGCAGCGAACUCAAAUCGUACUUUGACCGUAUCUGAUCUGCGCCGCUAAUCAAAGCCACGAGUAUUGGCGGCACCAGAGGCAAGUACGUGGCCCGGUAUUUUGAAAUCGAUGAUAACAUUUCGUGCAUGUCGAAUUUUGAGAGAACCACGAUCGUUGAUCCUGAUGCCAAGAGGCCCGUGGCGAACGCUGCUAAGCCGUAGAUGUGAAACAUAGGAACAGUGCAGAUGAAAGUUUGCUCGCCGUCCUCUAACUUAAAUCUCCCCAAAACGGUCUGCACCAUUGCUAUCAGAUUACGGUGUGACGAUACGACACCUUUACUAGCGCCUGUUGUGCCAGACGAGUAGAGGAGUGUUGCGACGUCGUCUUGGUUGAUUCGAUCUCUAACAAGGGUCCCGCUUGGCUCCUUUCGCAUCAUCUGCGGUAAAGUAGUUACAGUUUUGAUGCCUUCAGUUGAAGUGGUCUUCUCAUCGUCAAGGAGUACGAUUGGAAGCGUUGAACCGGCGAGUUUUGGGACGAGUUGGCUAAUGGUGAAGGCGAGGACAGGUUUCGAAUCAGCGAUUUGCUUGGCGAUUUCUUGUUUGGUGUUGAGAGGAUUAGUCGUGGUGAUAAUGGCACCGAGUGACAUGACAGCGAGACAGACGACUGGAAAGAAAAUUGAAUUAGGGGAAAGGAGGAGGAUGACAUGACCUUUUCUGAUUCCCAUAUCGGAGAGGCACGUGGAGACCGAAUCAACCGCUCGCCAGAGCUCGGAGAAGGUGAGGUGGCGGCCCGUGGCCGCGUCGAUGAAGGCGGUUCUGCCAUGAUGGGCCCGCGAGGAGAUGAAUGUCGUCACGUCUAGAGACUCGUUUGGUGGGAGUGAAACUGGCUUGCGUUUGCUGUAGAAGAUGGAAUUUGAUUUGCAGAAUCCACUUCUUGAAUCGAUUCUAGUGUUUGAUGCCAUCGUAGCCGAUCGAACGCCUCUCCUGUUUCGUCUCCCUGAUCAAAGGUUUUCGUUUGUAUAACGUGGACUUUGAUUUGAGCUAAGGCUGCGUUUGGUGUAAUUUAAAAUGGAAAGUUUUAAUAAAAUAUUUGAGCUGUUUAAUUUUUUAUAAAAUUAUUCUAGUGCAUACUUUUUUUAAUAUAAAAUGAAAUAAUUAUAAAAUAAAUUAAGAGUAUUUUAUUAGAUAAAUUUUAUAAAUAAAUAUUCAUACCAUAAGUUAUAUCAAACAUACAGUAGGAGUGACCUAACUUUGACCAAAAAAUACUAAAUAGAACCGUGCAUAACUCGUGUUCAUUUCUUAUGAAUAGAACCGUGCAUAAAUCGUGUUGAUAUAUUAUGGCCGUUGGAUCAAUGGUCGGAGACGUUUUAUGAGAAAAUCGUAGCCGUCAGAUAUAGUGCACGUGUGUUAAAUUUUUAUUUUUAUAUUUCUGUUUUCAUAAUGAGUUUGCGCACGUGUGAGAUUUGCUGUCUUAAAAUCUACUUUACAUGUGUACCGUGCAAUACAUGAUGUUGUCAUUCUUACUUCGUGCCACUUUCUCGAAGCCACUUAUAAAGGCACCUGCACUUUUUUUAAUCAUAAUCCUUUUUAUUUAGACUAAUUAAUCAUAACAUAUUUGCAUCCAAUCAUAAUAUCUAAUUGCCAACGAUCCCCAUAAUUUUUGUUUAAUAAUUAUAAUUUUUUUCCAUCAAUUAUAUUUUAAAAGUUACAGCAUCUUAUAAAAAUAGAAUAAUAAUUUUUAUCAAAAUUAUUAAAAAUAUAAUGAUUUUUUUAUCAUAAAAAUAAAAAAUUAUAUCAACAUAAUUUUUAAAUUAUAACAAUUAGUGUUUAUCAAAUACCUUAUUUUAGGACGGUGUUUUGACAAACGAAGAUUAUCUGACAAUCACUUUUUAAAUAAUCUACUGUGGAUGUUUGGUAAGUGAAAAUCAGAAGUGUAAUGUUCAAUGUGCAAUGACAAAAAUGGGUUUGUUGACUUAUUUAUAAUUUAUUUAGAGUAUUUUUAUUUAAAUCAUUUUUUAUUUACUGCUUAUUUUUUAUAGCAUAUUUAUUUUCUUUAUUAUUUAUUUAAAUAAUUUUUUCAUUAACUAUUUCAUUUUGCAAUUGAUUCAACUUAUAAAUAUUUUUCACUAAAAAAUUUAUUAUGUAUAGUACAUAAUGUACACAAAAAUUUAAUAUAUUAUUAUUAAAUUAAUUGAUAAAAUUUUUAUAUUAAAAAAUUAAAUAAAUUAAAUGCAAAAAAAUAUAAAUAACUGAGUAAGUAAAUUCAUGGAAAAAUAUUUAGAUGACAAAAAACCUUUACAUAAAUUUAGAUGACAAAAUUUUUUUAUAUAAACCCUUAUGUACUUAUAAUCAUAAUCAAAAUAAUUCAUAAAAAUGUAACACUGUAGAUACGUAUGUGUACAACAAAAAUAUGUUUGAUGACGCUUCUGAGUGCAAUCACAAGGUAGAAACAUGGUUUUUUUUUUACAGAAAAAGCUUCAUUUAUUUCACAGUAAUCAAUCCACCCAAGACCAAGAUGAAUAUAAGAAAUAAUUUUUGGGGUCGAGCAGUUGUAAACCAUUCUAAAGCCUGCCAUUAAAAAAUUGUUUCAGCACUAAGUACAUAAAUCCACCCAAGACAAAUACAAUGGACUAUGGAAAUUAAAAUUUAAAGAAUGAAAUGUGUGUAAAUCAUUUGGUAUGAAAUUUUUUUAUUUUAAUUAAAAUCUUCGGUUGGAAUCUUAAGAAUACAAUUGCGUUAAAUAUUAAUUUUAUUAAAUUAAUCGAUAUACAACGUGGUCUUCGAAUAAUAAAAUUUAUUUAACUGUAAAUUAUAUUAAAUAUAACUUAAAAAAUUUAAAAUAAUAUAAUCUUGGGUGAUUUUUUUUUUUUUUUUGUCAGGUAUGAAUUUCAGAAUCAUCUUAAAAUAAUUGACAUGCAUGGCAUGGGAAAAAUGACUUUGUUAUCGAUGUAAGUAGUGUGGCGAGUCAAUGUGCACCACAUAAAUUAAGUGUUCUAAAUUAUUAUUGGAAAGAAAAGGAGAGCGUGCAAGCGAGCGACACUUAUUGGUAAUAUGAUUACGUGAAUGCCCUUGUUUUCAUAGAUACUUUUUUUUUUUCUUUCUUUUUCUAGGUAUACCAAAAAGAGAGAAAAAAAUGUUUAUAUAUCUACUUUUAAAUACAUUGGGAGAUAUGUGGGUCUCAUAAAAAAAUCACGUGACUAUUUUUUUUUUUUUAUAAGAUAAGAACUCUGUCUAUUCUAUUUUUUAAAGUGAAGAGUGUUUAUUAUCUUUUUCGUAUUUAUUGUUUAGUAUGUAUAGUACAUAAUGUACACAAAAAUUUAAUAUAUUAUUAUUAAAUUAAUUGAUAAAAUUUUUAUAUUAAAAAAUUAAAUAAAUUAAAUGCAAAAAAAUAUAAAUAACUGAGUAAGUAAAUUCAUGGAAAAAUAUUUAGAUGACAAAAAACCUUUACAUAAAUUUAGAUGACAAAAUUUUUUUAUAUAAACCCUUAUGUACUUAUAAUCAUAAUCAAAAUAAUUCAUAAAAAUGUAACACUGUAGAUACGUAUGUGUACAACAAAAAUAUGUUUGAUGACGCUUCUGAGUGCAAUCACAAGGUAGAAACAUGGUUUUUUUUUUACAGAAAAAGCUUCAUUUAUUUCACAGUAAUCAAUCCACCCAAGACCAAGAUGAAUAUAAGAAAUAAUUUUUGGGGUCGAGCAGUUGUAAACCAUUCUAAAGCCUGCCAUUAAAAAAUUGUUUCAGCACUAAGUACAUAAAUCCACCCAAGACAAAUACAAUGGACUAUGGAAAUUAAAAUUUAAAGAAUGAAAUGUGUGUAAAUCAUUUGGUAUGAAAUUUUUUUAUUUUAAUUAAAAUCUUCGGUUGGAAUCUUAAGAAUACAAUUGCGUUAAAUAUUAAUUUUAUUAAAUUAAUCGAUAUACAACGUGGUCUUCGAAUAAUAAAAUUUAUUUAACUGUAAAUUAUAUUAAAUAUAACUUAAAAAAUUUAAAAUAAUAUAAUCUUGGGUGAUUUUUUUUUUUUUUUUGUCAGGUAUGAAUUUCAGAAUCAUCUUAAAAUAAUUGACAUGCAUGGCAUGGGAAAAAUGACUUUGUUAUCGAUGUAAGUAGUGUGGCGAGUCAAUGUGCACCACAUAAAUUAAGUGUUCUAAAUUAUUAUUGGAAAGAAAAGGAGAGCGUGCAAGCGAGCGACACUUAUUGGUAAUAUGAUUACGUGAAUGCCCUUGUUUUCAUAGAUACUUUUUUUUUUUCUUUCUUUUUCUAGGUAUACCAAAAAGAGAGAAAAAAAUGUUUAUAUAUCUACUUUUAAAUACAUUGGGAGAUAUGUGGGUCUCAUAAAAAAAUCACGUGACUAUUUUUUUUUUUUUAUAAGAUAAGAACUCUGUCUAUUCUAUUUUUUAAAGUGAAGAGUGUUUAUUAUCUUUUUCGUAUUUAUUGUUUAAAAACAGGCAAAGGAAGAUUGUUCCGAAAAUAGCCGGGACGUCCUACCCAGAACGGGAUUAAGUUCUUUUUGUAAUUUUUAAAAUUUUCAAUUUAAAUUUAAAUUUUUAAUAAACAAUUAAAUUUUAAUUUGAGUUAUUUCGAUUAGGAGAAACUUGUGUGGAACAGACACGUCAUUUCACAAUAUUGAGAGUGUAUCCAGCUUUGUUACAGAGCAAAAGGAUGGUAGUAAAUAAGAAGAAAUCGAUUUCUAAGACUCUUUAACAAGAGUCUUACCGGGUAAUUUUCGGUUUCCUCCCCUGAGGUUUAAGGUCCUUCGACUUUGAUAGAUUGUAUGAGUGUAUCUCUACUUUAUAUCCCUGCCGUUAGUAUAAAGUUUAGUAUAUGUUUAGUAUGUGAGGUCAAAUACGUAAUUGCGUGUUAAAUUAAUUAAAUAUUAAAAUGAGUUUGAAUUUUCGCACCUUGAAAACUGGAAUGUCUUGAAACACUCUAAUGCACACUCGGUAAUAACAAAUCCAUGCUAAUUAAUAUACAUUUUUUUUUCACCAAAACCUAAACAAUGCUUGUCAUUUCUUUUUUGCACAGAAACCAAAACAGUGCUCUUAUCUUCCAUCUCUGCAAAUCAAACCCUCAAGGCCCAUGGGAUUCGUCAGUCUUCACCGAAAUUGACCAAUUCAGCCUCCACCGUCUCCUAAUCUUCCUCGGCAGACCGCUUCUCCCUUCAAUCUACGACGAUUAGGAGCAGCCCCUCAUCCACGAGCCGAAACGCCGUGUUUUGCACUUCAAGUACGACUUCUCCUCUCUCUACGACUGGACCAAGGUCAUUUUUAGCGUCGUCGUCGCUUCGCCUGUCGACGUUGGGUGCAGUUUGCUUACUGCCGUUUACCAUGUAUUUGGUGUGGAGCCUCUUUGCUAAUCGUCAUGAUUCUCGCAAUUCCCAUGAGGAAUUCAGUGAUGUUGACGAUCAUGGUGAUGAUCUGAGCCCUAAGAAUAUGAGAUACAAGAAGACUGCAGAUAAGGAAGCUGUGUGAUGUGGUAUAUCUAAAUAAUUAAUUAAGAUUAAUAUUUGUGUAAUUAUGUAUUGUGUUCUUAUUUUCAUUUGAUGAUUUCACUGCAUCUGUAAUCUGGAUUAUGAUCAUUAUCAUUCGAACAAACUUUUACUUUGUGGUAUGUACUUACAAGCUGUUAUAUCUCUGAAUCUCUCUAUAUUUUCAGUUUAGUUAAUAAGUUUGAGAUUUAAAAAAAAAAAAGAAAUUCGGCUCCAGUUGGUUAUUAAAAUAGUUUUAUUGAUGCAAGGGUGUUUUAGUCAUUUAGUCAGUCAAUUAACAGUCAAAUAAACGUUAUACUAACGGUAGGGGUGUAAAGUGGAGAUACACUCGUACAAUCUAUCAAAGUGGAAGGACCCCAAAACUCAGGGCAGAAAACCGAAAAUUAUCCGAGUCUUACCAUUUAGCCAGUUCAAUGGAUUCCAUCAGAGGACCACAAAUUAAAUAAUUAAAAUUAUAUAUAAAAAAAAUAUUAGGACCUUACCGUGAGACCCACUGGACCUGCUGGCAAGUCCUUUAUGGCGGGUGGAUCACCUCUUCCCAAGCUGAUAUGAGCAGCUAAAAUUUCGUUAACCACAUUAUGAAGUAUUAUCGAAAGAAUCAACUUAUAGUUUCCACAGUCAUUUUUUUCUAAGAGAUGAAUGCAGCCCUAAAUUUGUAAUAGCGAGUCGCUUAUUGAGUAAAAAUAAUGUUUGGUUAAAAAAAUUUUAAUUCAAUUUAGGGGCUUCAUUCUUGUAACUGUUUGCGAGCAAUAUUUUUUCCUUUAUUUCUCUUAGAAGAGGCUUGGCCGAUAUAAUUAAAGGGAAAAUUAACAGUUGGAUCCGCCCGUCUACAGGUAAAAACUUUGUACAGUGAAUAAUUAUAAAAUAAAGUAAAUUUCUAACAUUGAAAAAAGUUUCUCACAAGAGAACUUGAUGGCAGCUGCAGUUAUGUCUCUUUUUCCUUACGAAAUAAUGAUUGUCAAUUGAGAACACAAUGGCGGAAAACGAACAAGAAAUUUCGAAUUAGAAAAUAUGGAUAAUACAGAGUUUUCCUAUGCUACUUACCAUGUAGCUAGAACGAAUACAGCCAAGGGAGAUAAUCUGGGGUACUAAAGAUUUUCAGCAACAAAAUUGGGAAGAAGGCAACCAUGCUUUAAGGGACCAGGUUUGGAUUGAGUAAACAUUGCCAUUCAGCAAUCGAUGUAUGAUUUCACAUUUCCAUGUGAAAGAUGGUAUAAUUCAAAGUCAGAAAAUGACCAGGGCAAACAACACCGGUCAGGCAACAAUCAGAGAACAAUUGCCUGCAUUUUAGCAACUUUAUACCGGUCAGCAACAUAAUCAUAUGACCUAAUCCUCUAGUUUGAAUAUUGCCAUAGAAAUGAGAGUUGAGUGUCAAGAGUUCCCCAGUUUGGGUCUAUUUCACAAACAACAGAUACUUAACAAAUUUGUUGAACCAAUGAAUUUACUGUACUUCAAAAAAGACAUUUUUGGAGAGAAUAAUAAAAGUAUUAAGAUUGUAAAAAAAAAUUAAGAGUGAGAAAAUUUCUGCAAAUUAAAAGAUUUAUGAAUGAAAAGAGCUUAUAUUUACAAAAAUAGAUAUUUUUGACAAUAAUUAGAAAACAAAUUUUAAGAAGAUUUUGGAGGGAUGUCAAUAGUCUUACUCAAAUAGGAAUUGUUUGUAUGGGUUGUUAAGUAAAUAAAAGUACCAGGUCAGUCAUGCUACUAUUUCCACCCCGGCAUGAAUCACCUCAGCCAAAUGGUACGAGCAGAGCAGGGGCAACAUGAGCCGAGCCGAGACGAAUACGGACCAGAGGUAUAUACCGAGCCGGUACCCGUACCCCAAAAAGCGGAAGCACGAUCUCACAGAAUCGCGGCAGUUGCGCUUUUCCAGAACCGUUGCGGGAGAUGCGAGAUCUCACGUUUGCCCAUGAUGCAGCAGUUAGAGUCCCAUGAGGGGCUGCCACUACCCGAAAAAGGUGGGAUGAAGGGCAAACGGGAACGUGGGGACAACGGCUAUAAAAGAAGAAGAAAUCGACGAAGAAGGGGACAGAAAAACUGAAAAGGGGGAAAACGCUGCCAAAUUGCAACCAAACCAUUUCCUUACAAAUUUCUAACAAACACCUUAAAUCCAAAUUACAUUGUUUUCCCGUAAACACCUUGUGCUAACUUAGGCAUCGGAGGGUUUACGCCGGCAAAACCACCGGCGUCUCUGAUCCGUUUUCGGUGAACGCAUGUCUAGUGAGAGAAAGGAGGGUGAUUCCAGCCUUAGCGGUUCGUGCAGCAGUUGAUAACUUAAACGUUGGUGAAAGAAUCUGGUCGGUCUAAGGACGAGCAGAUUUCGGCAUCAACAUGGGUAACAAGGAAAUUAUGUGACAUGCAGAUCUUUUGUGCGCCACUUGGUUUCUUUCCAAUUUAAUUUCAGCAUAUUUUCAUAAAUCGUUCAUUACUUGAGUAUGACCUCAAAAAUAAAUUUGGAUAUAAAAAAAUUAAGUUUGAUUUGAUCUUAAAUUUUGAUAGAAUACUAAUGUCGUUGAAAUCUAUCUUCAUGGAAGGAUAUUCUAUAUAGGUUUCUUUCAAACGUAGGUAAUUAUCUUAGAAAAAAAAAUCAGUUAGUUCUCUUAAUACUUAAUCUAAUUUCAUUUAGUAAUUAGUUUCUUAAAAAUAUAAUACCCCGUUUAUUCCCCAAAAAAAAUACAUUUUGGUAAAAAAUAAAUAAUAAUAAAUGCGGCAUAUUUGUAAUUUUAACUUACAAAAUAUAUUUAUUUUAUAAUUUAGUCCCUGUAAGUUUAACAAUUGAUAUCUUACCCCAGAUAUACAAUUUUUUUACUUUGACCCCUUGAAAUUUGCGCGUAUGACUUUUGGCCCCUUAGAAUAAUAGAACAUGAUUUUCGGUUCUAGCUCUACCUCUGCAUAUUAAUUAUUUUGAGAUAAAAAGAUGUUGAACGAUUUGGGUAUGCUUUCGUGCAUAAAAUUAAUUAUGGGAAAAUCAAAAGAGUAAAUAUAUUUCAUUCUUAUUCUAUAACUGAUUUUUGAUCUUACUUUUAGUAGUAGUUGAGACAAAACGGUUGAAGCAACUGGGAGACAGCUAUGUUAUCCCCGGGUUAACACGUAGCCGGUUUUUUGUGUAACGUCCGUUAGAUACAAAGGAAUGUAAUCCACGGCUCUAGUUGGAAAAACGGAUGGUGCAAUGAUUGUUUCAGAUAGGAUUAUACGAGAGCUUUACCAAUUUUGAGAAUUGAGAAAUCUUUUCGGCUGGGCGGGGGCUGGACGUGUAUGAGGAGAGUUUGAGGGGAUCGCGUGGAGCGCAAACUGCUGGCCGUGAGGAUGAUUAGCUUUUGCUGAUGGGAAGAUUAGGGCUGUGGUUUCUGACGACUGCAAGUGAUUUUAUGUUGAGAGUUUGUGAACUCAAACUGCAUAAUUUUCUCAUGCAGUUACAUGAUUAAGUUGCAGUUUUGUGUUGUUUAGAGAAGAAUUUUUUGUUUCUGUCUGACUAUUAACGAAGGACAAAAGUAAUCUCAAGCUCUUAACCUGGUGAGUUUUAAUAGGGACUAGGAACCGAGAUUUUGAAACAUGCUCUCCCACUUACCCUGAAGCAACCAUUUUUGGAAGAGUUCCUAUGAAACGUUAUUAAAUAAAAUUUAUUGAGGAUAGGACCCUGGAAGAAAUUUUCUGGAUUGCUUUUCAAACAGUUAAGUUGCUCCUCCUGCAAUCGAUGUUGUUACAGCCAUUAACUACUUUCUUGCUACAUGUAUAAUCUCUUGUUUGUUUCCAUAGUCUUCACCUAUAAUUUACAGGAUUGAUCGGUUGACAAAGGCUCACACGUGCCUGUUUUUCGGCCUUUGGAUUAUAUAGCUAUCAAUCCAAUGGAUGCUUAGCUAAAACACAACCCUGGGUUUGUUACCCAGCCACGCGACUUAACAUAACAAAAUGAUGAUAAACCGAUUACUAUAAAUUAGGCAAUAAUUGCGCCCUUUUCACAUUUUUUCUACUCUUGAAUUUUCUAAAUCCCAUGAAAGUGGGGAACUGAGUAUCGAUGUGAUCGUGUGAAUGUUUUAGCCUUUUUUUCCUUGAAAAGGGAAUAGCAACUUCGGAUAUUGAAGUUGAUAUUAUCUUGCGUGGCCCUUUUAAGAGUCUAAUAGGUCCACUGCAUUGGAGAAAAUUUACUCUUUUGGAUAAAUAUUAUCGGCUCGCAUAUCACGCCAACCUUAUGCCUAAAAUAGUCAACUUCGUCUUACUUCAUUCUCCAUGUGCCUAUGACAUGUCACGUAUGAAC
rnacentral:lncRNA from 1 species